rnacentral:rRNA from 1 species
CAGCCGCCACGGGAAUACAGAGGAUGCAAGCGUUAUCCGGAAUGAUUGGGCGUAAAGCGUGCGCAGGCGGUUUGUUAAGACAGAUGUGAAAUCCCCGGGCUCAACCUGGGAACUGCACUUGUGACUGGCAAGCUAGAGUAUGGCAGAGGGGGGUGGAAUUCCGCGUGUAGCAGUGAAGUGCGUAGAUAUGCGGAGGAACACCGAUGGCGAAGGCAGCCCCCUGGGCCAAUACUGACGCCCAUGCACGAAAGCGUGGGGAGCAAACAGGAUUAGAUACCCCUGUAGUCCCUGUCUCUUAUAC